GUUCAGAUCGCAGUCUGCAACUCGACUGCGUGAAGUCGGAAUCGCUAGUAAUCGCGGAUCAGCAUGCCGCGGUGAAUACGUUCCCGGGCCUUGUACACACCGCCCGUCACACCAUGAGAGUCGGGAACACCCGAAGUCCGUAGCCUAACCGCAAGGGGGGCGCGGCCGAAGGUGGGUUCGAUAAUUGGGGUGAAGUCGUAACAAGGUACC
rnacentral:rRNA from 1 species